rnacentral:rRNA from 3 species
GCGUUUGACCUCAAAUCAGGUAGGAU